CGGGACACGUGGUAUCCUGUCUGAAUAUGGGGGGACCAUCCUCCAAGGCUAAAUACUCCUGACUGACCGAUAGUGAACCAGUACCGUGAGGGAAAGGCGAAAAGAACCCCGGCGAGGGGAGUGAAAAAGAACCUGAAACCGUGUACGUACAAGCAGUGGGAGCCUCUUUAUGGGGUGACUGCGUACCUUUUGUAUAAUGGGUCAGCGACUUAUAUUCUGUAGCAAGGUUAACCGAAUAGGGGAGCCGAAGGGAAACCGAGUCUUAACUGGGCGUUAAGUUGCAGGGUAUAGACCCGAAACCCGGUGAUCUAGCCAUGGGCAGGUUGAAGGUUGGGUAACACUAACUGGAGGACCGAACCGACUAAUGUUGAAAAAUUAGCGGAUGACUUGUGGCUGGGGGUGAAAGGCCAAUCAAACCGGGAGAUAGCUGGUUCUCCCCGAAAGCUAUUUAGGUAGCGCCUCGUGAAUUCAUCUCCGGGGGUAGAGCACUGUUUCGGCAAGGGGGUCAUCCCGACUUACCAACCCGAUGCAAACUGCGAAUACCGGAGAAUGUUAUCACGGGAGACACACGGCGGGUGCUAACGUCCGUCGUGAAGAGGGAAACAACCCAGACCGCCAGCUAAGGUCCCAAAGUCAUGGUUAAGUGGGAAACGAUGUGGGAAGGCCCAGACAGCCAGGAUGUUGGCUUAGAAGCAGCCAUCAUUUAAAGAAAGCGUAAUAGCUCACUGGUCGAGUCGGCCUGCGCGGAAGAUGUAACGGGGCUAAACCAUGCACCGAAGCUGCGGCAGCGACGCUGAUGCGUUGUUGGGUAGGGGAGCGUUCUGUAAGCCUGCGAAGGUGUGCUGUGAGGCAUGCUGGAGGUAUCAGAAGUGCGAAUGCUGACAUAAGUAACGAUAAAGCGGGUGAAAAGCCCGCUCGCCGGAAGACCAAGGGUUCCUGUCCAACGUUAAUCGGGGCAGGGUGAGUCGACCCCUAAGGCGAGGCCGAAAGGCGUAGUCGAUGGGAAACAGGUUAAUAUUCCUGUACUUGGUGUUACUGCGAAGGGGGGACGGAGAAGGCUAUGUUGGCCGGGCGACGGUUGUCCCGGUUUAAGCGUGUAGGCUGGUUUUCCAGGCAAAUCCGGAAAAUCAAGGCUGAGGCGUGAUGACGAGGCACUACGGUGCUGAAGCAACAAAUGCCCUGCUUCCAGGAAAAGCCUCUAAGCAUCAGGUAACAUCAAAUCGUACCCCAAACCGACACAGGUGGUCAGGUAGAGAAUACCAAGGCGCUUGAGAGAACUCGGGUGAAGGAACUAGGCAAAAUGGUGCCGUAACUUCGGGAGAAGGCACGCUGAUAUGUAGGUGAAGCGACUUGCUCGUGGAGCUGAAAUCAGUCGAAGAUACCAGCUGGCUGCAACUGUUUAUUAAAAACACAGCACUGUGCAAACACGAAAGUGGACGUAUACGGUGUGACGCCUGCCCGGUGCCGGAAGGUUAAUUGAUGGGGUCAGCGCAAGCGAAGCUCUUGAUCGAAGCCCCGGUAAACGGCGGCCGUAACUAUAACGGUCCUAAGGUAGCGAAAUUCCUUGUCGGGUAAGUUCCGACCUGCACGAAUGGCGUAAUGAUGGCCAGGCUGUCUCCACCCGAGACUCAGUGAAAUUGAACUCGCUGUGAAGAUGCAGUGUACCCGCGGCAAGACGGAAAGACCCCGUGAACCUUUACUAUAGCUUGACACUGAACAUUGAGCCUUGAUG
rnacentral:rRNA from 1 species